UAUUAGAUGUGGAUGGUGUU
rnacentral:misc_RNA from 1 species